AGCGGGGGACAACAUUUGGAAACAGAUGCUAAUACCGCAUAACAGCGUUGUUCGCAUGAACAACGCUUAAAAGAUGGCUUCUCGCUAUCACUUCUGGAUGGACCUGCGGUGCAUUAGCUUGUUGGUGGGGUAACGGCCUACCAAGGCGAUGAUGCAUAGCCGAGUUGAGAGACUGAUCGGCCACAAUGGGACUGAGACACGGCCCAUACUCCUACGGGAGGCGGCAGUAGGGAAUCUUCCACAAUGGGCGCAAGCCUGAUGGAGCAACACCGCGUGAGUGAAGAAGGGUUUCGGCUCGUAAAGCUCUGUUGUUAAAGAAGAACACGUAUGAGAGUAACUGUUCAUACGUUGACGGUAUUUAACCAGAAAGUCACGGCUAACUACGUGCCAGCAGCCGCGGUAAUACGUAGGUGGCAAGCGUUAUCCGGAUUUAUUGGGCGUAAAGAGAGUGCAGGCGGUUUUCUAAGUCUGAUGUGAAAGCCUUCGGCUUAACCGGAGAAGUGCAUCGGAAACUGGAUAACUUGAGUGCAGAAGAGGGUAGUGGAACUCCAUGUGUAGCGGUGGAAUGCGUAGAUAUAUGGAAGAACACCAGUGGCGAAGGCGGCUACCUGGUCUGCAACUGACGCUGAGACUCGAAAGCAUGGGUAGCGAACAGGAUUAGAUACCCUGGUAGUCCAUGCCG
rnacentral:rRNA from 1 species